CCCGCAGACCCCGCCCCUUUCCCCCGAGUGGAAGUGCCUGCUUCACCUGCCCUGGCUUCUCAUUGGCCAGUUUCGGGGCUGGGAGCCCGCGGUGCGGCCACUCCGCCUGGGGAGUUGGUUUUGGCCGUGAACUCUGGAGAGAGGAAGCUGGAAGCAGCAGAGCCCAGAGGUAGAAGAGCCCGCAGACCCCGGGAACAGGUGCACCCCUGCCACCCUGCAUGCCCUGCCGCUGCGGGACCCACCGAUCUCGGGUCCUGUGGUGGCAGGGCACAGACGGCUGCUGGGGCUUCUGGGGUGGGUGUGCCUUCCUGCCGGCCGGCCUGCCCUGGAUGGUGGCACGCUGGCAGUUGGCCCUGUCCCACCCUGCCUGCAGUAUGCAAAUUAGCCAUCAUCUUUGUUGGUGGUUAAUUUGCAUAUCACCCUGAUUAGUCGGUGGGAAGUGUAGCGAAGGUGCGGUCAAUUAGCCUUUUUGUCUUUUAUUAGAUAGGAUUAUUGCGUAUGUCCUCCUUUUCCCCAUUGACCCUGCCCACCCCAGACCUUCACCACACCCACCAUUCCUAAGCGCCUUAGGAUUUGGUAUUACGACCAAGUUGGCAUCACACCGGGAACCGGGUGGUGAAUAGGCUCCCUUUUCUUGCUCUGAGAACAGUCUGUACAGAGUCGACUCUUGUCCUUGUUCGUUGCUGGGUAGACUUUGCUGAUGAAGCCAUCUGGUCCUAGUUUUAUCUGUGGACUCCAUUGCUUUGGUGGUUUUGGGACUAAGAUUGUCUAAUUCUCAUUUUUUUAUUUUAGUAAAUUGUGUUUUUUUCCCAAGAAUUUCGCUAUCUCAACUAAAUUUUCAGGUUUGUUCAAGUGAAUAUUCAAAUUUUCUAUGUAAAUGUAUAAAUAGAAAAAUAUCACUAUUUCCACUAACUGCUCAAGUUUUUAAAUUCAUAACAAUUUUAUGUUUUUAUAAUAAUAGAAUAUGCUGCCCUUCCCUUCAUUCCUGUCUGCUCCCAAAUCUUGACCCAGUAAUUUUUUUUAAUAGAUAACUUUUUUAUUGUUGACCGUAUUACAGCUGUCCCCCAUUUCCCCCUGCUUGCCCCCUCUACCCAGCCACUCCCCCCUGGCUUUUACCCCACUAUUUUGACCCAGUAACUCUUUAGUUCUCUUUCCUGUUCAUUCUCUGACUAAAAUUUGACCACCCGUUGUCCAGAAGUUCUCGUUCUUGACUGCACACGCCAUUUGCCUGAGGAGCUGUUUUAAGUCCCAGUCCAUAGGUCCCACCCCAGCACUCUGUACCAUGUUUUUAAGUGCGUCCCAGUGGUGGUGCGACUGUGCAGCGUGAAGAACCACCGUCGGGACCACGAUUUCUCAGCCUCUCCCUGCUGCCAUGCGGGCCAGGCAGCUCUGGUACCAGGGCUGUUCUGUGCCCUGUCGGCAUCCAGCUGCCUCUCUGCCUUGACCCACAGGUGCCUGGAGCGCCUCCCACACACCCUCACAGUUGUGCCAACCAACCAUGACCCCAGACAUGGCCAAAGGCCCAACACCCGACGUCCACAGUCCAGGCUGAUGCGGCAGCAGCAUCAGGCCCUGGAUUCAGAGGGAGAACAAUCACAAUUGGAAAGAAACCAUCGUUCUGACGAGCAGUUCCAUGUCCUCAAAGGCUCUGCUUGCCAGGGUGGCAUGGCCUAUUGCUAGUUAGCGGGGGCUGCCACAACGAAAUGCCGCCGCGGGUCCCUUCCGCCACAGACAUUGAUUUUUGUGUAGUUCUGGGGCCAGGAGCUCAGGUCCAUGAGUGAGACCGCUCUCCUGGGCUUGCAGGGGCCGCCCUCGCUGGGCCUCCCAGGGCCUGGCCUCCACGCCCAACGUCCCUCACGUCUCUUUGUGCAUCCACAUCUCCACUUCAUAUAAGAACACAGUUACAUUGGAUUAGGGACGACGCCUAUGACCUUCUUCCACCAUAAUCACCCUUUUCACACAGUAUUACAGCCACUUGCGGGGUCCUGGCUGGGUAGGGCUUCAGCAUGUGGGCUUGAGGGCUGGCACAAUUCAACCCAGGAUACCAAUCAGAGCAAAGCAAUAGCCUGAGAGCCACUCCCCAGGGACCCCGUAGGGCGGCUUCAUUCUCUCCUGCAGACAGUUGGCGACCAGUCCAGGGCCUCUGAUUAGGAAAGUCUCUGCUUCUGGGAGGAAGACAGAAUAAAUUCCAACCAGGGAAAGCAAUGAAAACAACACAAUACACAGAUGAUGUCUUGUCGAAAUGCCUACCUGAAACCUAUACAAUUUCAUUAGUCAAUAUCACCCCAAUAAAUUCCAUUUUAAAACAUUGAAAAGAAAGAAAAAAUGAAUAAAUAAAUAUUUUAUCCUUUUGCUUUUAUUUAUUUAGAAAGAAAGAGGAAAGAAAGAAAGAAAGAAAGAAAGAAAGAAAGAAAGAAAGAAAGAAAGAAAGAAAGAAAGAAAACAA